GCUCUCUUUGGUUGACCUACCCUAAAACUGGAAUAAUACAGAGAAGAUUGGCACUGCCCCUGUACAAGACUUACAUGAAGAUUCAUGAAGUGUUCUGUAUUUCU
ensembl:snRNA U6 U6 spliceosomal RNA